CCUACGGGGUGCAGCAGUGGGGAAUAUUGGGCAAUUGGCGCAAGCCUGACCCAGCAACGCCGCGUGAGGGAAGAAGGCUCUCGGGUUGUAAACCUCUAUUCUCAGGGACGAAGAAAGUGACGGAACCUGAGGAAUAAGCCACGGCUAACUACGGGCCAGCAGCCGCGGCAAUACGUAGGUGGCAAGCGUUAUCCGGAUUUACUGGGUGUAAAGGGGGGGUAGGCGGGACUGCAAGUCAGAGGUGAAAACCACGGGCUCAACCUGUGGCCUGCAUUUGAAACUGUAGUUCUUGAGUGCUGGAGAGGCAGACGGAAUUCCUAGUGUAGCGGUGAAAUGCGUAGAUAUUAGGAGGAACACCAGUGGCGAAGGCGGCCUGCUGGACAGUAACUGACGCUGAGGCGCGAAAGCGUGGGGAGCAAACAGGAUUAGAUACCCGAGUAGUC
rnacentral:rRNA from 1 species